ensembl:snRNA U5 U5 spliceosomal RNA
UACUAGGUUUUUCUUCAUAUCGUAUAAAUCUUUCGCCUUUUACUAAAGAUUCCCUAUAAAGAAGAGCACCUCCCAGCUGUCUCAGGGUAUGGCUACACUGGCACUUAACAGUGCU